GCGGGCGUCGCCAAGUGGUAAGGCAGUAGCUUCCCAAGCUACUAUUCGCGAGUUCGAAUCUCGUCGCCCGCU
rnacentral:tRNA from 1 species